rnacentral:rRNA from 1 species
AGUGAACGCUGGCGGUAGGCCUAACACAUGCAAGUCGAACGGCAGCACAGUAAGAGCUUGCUCUUACGGGUGGCGAGUGGCGGACGGGUGAGGAAUACAUCGGAAUCUACUUUUUCGUGGGGGAUAACGUAGGGAAACUUACGCUAAUACCGCAUACGACCUACGGGUGAAAGCAGGGGAUCUUCGGACCUUGCGCGAUUGAAUGAGCCGAUGUCGGAUUAGCUAGUUGGCGGGGUAAAGGCCCACCAAGGCGACGAUCCGUAGCUGGUCUGAGGGGAUGAUCAGCCACACUGGAACUGAGACACGGUCCAGACUCCUACGGGAGGCAGCAGUGGGGAACAUUGGACAAUGGGCGCAAGCCUGAUCCAGCCAUACCGCGUGGGUGAAGAAGGCCUUCGGGUUGUAAAGCCCUUUUGUUGGGAAAGAAAAGCAGCAGGUUAAUACCCCGCUGUUCUGACGGUACCCAAAGAAUAAGCACCGGCUAACUUCGUG